rnacentral:misc_RNA from 1 species
GAAAUGCGAUAAGUAGUGUGAAUUGCAGAAUUCAGUGAAUCAUCGAAUCUUUGAACGCACAUUGCGCCCCUCGGUAUUCCGUGGGGCAUGCCUGUUCGAGCGUCAUCUACACCCUCAAGCUCUGCUUGGUGUUGGGCGUCUGUCCCGCCUCCUUCGCGCGCGGACUCGCCCCAAAUCCAUUGGCGGCGGCCCUUGCCUCCCUCUCGCGCAGCACAUUGCGCUUCUCGAGGCGCGGCGGACCGCGUCCAGCAAGCAACCGUCACACCGUCUUUGACCUCGGAUCAGGUAGGGAUACCCGCUGAACUGAAGC